rnacentral:rRNA from 1 species
UUCCGGUUGAUCCUGCCGGACCUGACUGCUAUCGGAUUGAUACUAAGCCAUGCUAGUCCAAGGCGUACGGCUCAGUAACGCGUAGUCAACCUACCCUAUGGACGGGGAUAAUCUCGGGAAACUGAGCAUAAUACCCGGCAGACCACUUAUCCUGGAAUGGUUAGUGGUUAACGCCAUAGGAUGGGACUGCGGCCUAUCAGCUUGUUGGUGAGGUAAUGGCCCACCAAGGCGAUUACAGGUACGGGCUCUGAGAGGAGAGGCCCGGAGAUGGGUACUGAGACAAGGACCCAGGCCCUAUGGGGCGCAGCAGGCGAGAAAACUUUGCAAUGUGCGAAAGCACGACAAGGUUAAUCCGAGUGAUUUACUAGUGAAUAAGGGGUGGGCAGGUGUCAGCCGCCGCGGUAAAACCAGCACCUCAAGUGGUCAGGAGGAUUAUUGGGCCUAAAGCAUCCGUAGCCUGUUCUAUAAGUUUGCGGUUAAAUCUAUACGCUCAACGUAUAGGCUGCCGUAAAUACUGUAGAACUAGGGAGUGGGAGAGGUAGACGGUACUCGAUAGGGAGGGGUAAAAUCCUUUGAUCUAUUGAUGACCACCUGUGGCGAAGGCGGUCUACCAGAACACGUUCGACGGUGAGGGAUGAAAGCUGGGGGAGCAAACCGGAUUAGAUACCCGGGUAGUCCCAGCUGUAAACGAUGCAGACUCGAUGAUGCAAUGGCGCUAUUGCAGUAUCGCAGGGGAGCCGUUAAGUUUGCCGCCUGGGAAGUACGUACGCAAGUAUGAAACUUAAAGGAAUUGGCGGGG